UGGGGAAUCUUGGACAAUGGGGGCAACCCUGAUCCAGCCAUGCCGCGUGAGUGAUGAAGGCCUUAGGGUCGUAAAGCUCUUUCGCCUGUGAAGAUAAUGACGGUAGCAGGUAAAGAAACCCCGGCUAACUCCGUGCCAGCAGCCGCGGUAAUACGGAGGGGGCGAGCGUUAUUCGGAAUUAUUGGGCGUAAAGGGCGCGUAGGCGGACCAGAAAGUUGGGGGUGAAAUCCCGGGGCUCAACCCCGGAACUGCCUCCAAACUAUUGGUCUAGAGUUCGAGAGAGGUGAGUGGAAUUCCAAGUGUAGAGGUGAAAUUCGUAGAUAUUUGGAGGAACACCAGUGGCGAAGGCGGCUCACUGGCUCGAUACUGACGCUGAGGUGCGAAAGUGUGGGGAGCAAACAGGAUUAGAUACCCUGGUAGUCCACACCGUAAAACGAUGAAUGCCAGUCGUCGGGUAGCAUGCUAUUCGGUGACACACCUAACGGAUUAAGCAUUCCGCCUGGGGAGUACGGUCGCAAGAUUAAAACUCAAAAUGAAUU
rnacentral:rRNA from 1 species